CAGUAGCCGCGGUAAGACGAACCGUGCGAACGUUAUUCGGAAUCACUGGGCUUAAAGCGCGUGUAGGCGGAUUGGUGCGUCGGUGCCUGAGAUCCCCCGGCUCAACCGGGGAACGCGGCCCGAAACGACCAGUCUGGAGGGACGUAGGGGGAACUGGAACUUCCGGUGGAGCGGUGAAAUGCGUUGAGAUCGGAAGGAACGCCCGUGGCGAAAGCGAGUUCCUGGACGUCUGCUGACGCUGAGACGCGAAAGCUAGGGGAGCGAACGGGAUUAGAUACCCGAGUAGUCCCUGUCUCUUAUA
rnacentral:rRNA from 1 species